rnacentral:rRNA from 1 species
CAAGGAUUCCCUAGUAACUGCGAGUGAAGCGGGAAAAGCUCAAAUUUAAAAUCUGGCGUUCUCUGGGCGUCCGAGUUGUAAUCUGGAGAAGCGUUUUCCGCGUUGGACCGUGUACAAGUCUCCUGGAACGGAGCGUCAUAGAGGGUGAGAAUCCCGUCCAUGACACGGACUACCAAUGCUUUGUGAUACGCUCUCGAAGAGUCGAGUUGUUUGGGAAUGCAGCUCAAAAUGGGUGGUAAAUUCCAUCUAAAGCUAAAUAUUGGCGAGAGACCGAUAGCGAACAAGUACCGUGAGGGAAAGAUGAAAAGCACUUUGGAAAGAGAGUUAAACAGUACGUGAAAUUGUUGAAAGGGAAACGCUUGAAGUCAGUCGCGUCUUGCGGAACUCAGCCUUACUUCGGUUUGGUGUACUUUCUGUUUGACGGGUCAACAUCAAUUUUGAUCGGUAGAAAAAGCUUGAGGAAAUGUAGCGUUGUUUCGSCGACGUGUUAUAGUCUUCUUGCGUAUAUAUCGGUUGGGAUUGAGGACCGCAGCACGCCUUUAAUGGCCGGGGGUUCGCCCUACGUAUCGUGCUUAGGAUGUUGGCAUAAUGGCUUUAAGCGACCCGUCUUGAAACACGGACCAAGGAGUCUAACAUGCUUGCGAGUGUUCGGGUGGAAACCCUUGCGCGUAAUGAAAGUGAAAGUUGGGAACCUCCGCAAGGGGGUGCACCGACGCCCGGCCCUGAAGUUCUCUGACGGUGCUGCGGUAGAGCACGUAUGUUGGGACCCGAAAGAUGGUGAACUAUGCCUGAAUAGGGCGAAGCCAGAGGAAACUCUGGUGGAGGCUCGUAGCGAUUCUGACGUGCAAAUCGAUCGUCAAAUUUGGG